GAUCCGACCUCCAUAGAGUACUCGGCUACGAACCGAGCGGUCGGAGGUUCGAAUCCUCCCGGAUGCACCA
rnacentral:tRNA from 1 species